UACGGAGGGUGCGAGCGUUGUCCGGAAUCAUUGGGCGUAAAGGGUGUGCAGGCGGGCUGUUAAGUGGUGCGUGAAAUCUCCGCGCUUAACGUGGAGAGGCUGUGCCAGACUGGCAGUCUAGAGUACGAGAGAGGGUUGUGGAAUUCCGGGUGUAGUGGUGAAAUGCGUAGAGAUCCGGAGGAACACCAGAGGCGAAGGCGGCACCCUGGCUCGUAACUGACGCUCAUACACGACAGCAUGGGGAGCGAACGGG
rnacentral:rRNA from 1 species